GACGAACGCUGGCGGCGUGCUUAACACAUGCAAGUCGAACGGUGAAGGGAUCAGCUUGCUGGCUCAGGAUGAGUGGCGAACGGGUGAGUAACACGUGAGUAACCUGCUCCCUUUUUCUGGAUAACCGCAUGAAAGAGUGGCCACUACGGGAUCUUCUGCGCUUGCUGCAUGGUGGGUGUGGGAACGAUAUUGUCUCGGUGGGGGAUGGGCUCGCGGCCUAUCAGCUUGUUGGUGGGGUGAUGGCCUACCAAGGCGGUGACGUGUAGCCGAUCUGAGAGGGGGGACGGUCACACUGGGACUGAGGCACAGCCCCGACUCGUACGGGGGGCAGGGGUGGGGAAGAUUACGCGCGGAGGGCAAGCCUGAUGCAGCGGCGCGGGGUGAGAGAGGGUGGCCUUCGGGUUGUGAUCCUCUUUCGCAAGAGAAGCAGGCCUGUACCUUGUGGGUGGGUUGACGGUAGCUAGAUAAGAAGCGCCGGCUAACUACGUG
rnacentral:rRNA from 1 species